ACGGGAGAGACCAUUUUGGCGCCGAAGGAGCAACCCCCCGGAAACUCUCAGGCAAAAGGACCGUUACA
rnacentral:ncRNA from 1 species